rnacentral:rRNA from 1 species
GCGAGUGAAGCGGCAAAAGCUCAAAUUUGAAAUCUAGCACUUUCAGUGUUCGAGUUGUAAUUUGAAGAAGGUAACUUUGGAAUUGGCUCUUGUCUAUGUUCCUUGGAACAGGACGUCACAGAGGGUGAGAAUCCCGUGCGAUGAGAUGUCCAAUUCUAUGUAAAGUGCUUUCGAAGAGUCGAGUUGUUUGGGAAUGCAGCUCUAAGUGGGUGGUAAAUUCCAUCUAAAGCUAAAUAUUGGCGAGAGACCGAUAGCGAACAAGUACAGUGAUGGAAAGAUGAAAAGAACUUUGAAAAGAGAGUGAAAAAGUACGUGAAAUUGUUGAAAGGGAAGGGCUUGAGAUCAGACUUGGUAUUUUGCGUUCCCUUCCUUUUUGGUUGGGUUCCUCGCAGUUUACUGGGCCAGCAUCGGUUUGGAUGGUAGGAUAAUGACAUUGGAAUGUAGCUUUACUUCGGUGAAGUGUUAUAGACUUUGUUGAUACUGCCUAUCUAGACCGAGGACUGCGUCUUUGACUAGGAUGCUGGCGUAAUGAUCUUAAGCCGCCC